AAUAAAUUCGAACAAUUAUUCUGACAAUUUGAACUUCAUAUAUUAGAAGUGAUCCUCUAUUGUAGAUAAAAUGAAAAUAUUUAUUCUAUUUCUGCUGGUCGCCGCUGUCUCCACUGCUGUCAUAGUACGGCCUCCACAAGAGGACAUUCCUUUAGACGAUUUUAUCUUUAACAAAUACUAUGGCCGUACUCUGGUGGGCAGACGACAGGAAAAUAUUGACGUUGCCUCAUUGAUUGUCAAAGUUGCCAAAUUCGUGAAUAUUAUAUCCGGCCUUGUUGAAGGGUCUGCCUAAAGAGAACUUGAUUCAAGCACCAACUAAUUGAAGCUCUUAGAUCCUCCUAUAAAGAUGAACAGGAAAUAGUUAGAAAAUGAAUUGUUUAAAAUAAACAGUCAAUUCGUUGCAAUUUUAAA